rnacentral:lncRNA from 1 species
UUGUUGCGGUGUUAGACUGUCACAAUUCUAAUGUUUUGUUUUUGUUUACAUAGUUUCCUUUAAUGGAACAGUCACUGUGGAAAAAGUAUUUAGUGAAACUAAUACUAUCAAACAACAGCUCACAGAGGGUUUUCAACAAUUAAAUGGGUUUGAGGGCCUUAAUGUAUCUGGACCUAGGUAAUACAUUCAACAUUUAUUAUGGGAUAUAUUCAUUCCUUAAUAUUUGGCAGAGUGCUUGUUUUUCUCCCCAAAGAUGCAACAUCAAUUUUUGUUUUUGUCUCCCUUUCACCCAUUGGAAACUCAAUAUUGACACAUAAGGGGUGAUGGCCACAUUGUUGAUUUCGAAGUGGAUCUCAGUGUCAUAUUUCUGACUAAAAAACUUACAAUAAUAACAGCUGACCUGGAAGCUACUGUAGGCUCCUCUGCCAAAAUAUCUGUUGAAACAUCAGGAUUUGUAAGCAUUAAGUAUCCAAUGAACAAAGUGCCAUACCGCUCAACACCGAUACUGAGUUGCACAUUUAAAGAAACAACAUUUGAUGAAACAGAUGGCUCUUGGAACUGGAACUUGAUAAAGGGAAAUGAGACAUUUGUUCUGAACACUGGAACCAGCAUAACCGUCACCUUCCCAGAGGCAUCACCUAACUGUACCACAGUCCAAAUUAAAAAGUUGUCAGGGAACUGGGCAGGAAUUUAUAAGUGUGGAUUUUCCAAAGGAUCCAUUGUGCACGCAGCCUCUGCAGAGUUGAAGGUAGCCCUGCUACCAGAUCAGAUCACCAUGACGAGUACCCCACUGACUGUAGAAUGCCAAGAUACAAGCCCUCAAAGUGUGAUGGUCAAUGCAACCAUCGAGAACAGCACGGAGAUUUACAAUGUUACUUGGUCAUACCAAGCUCAAAUGGAACCCCCAAAUCCAAUCACAGGUACUCUUUAUGAACUGUGUCUCGAACUAUCACCUUAUUUCUCUUAGUGCUCAAAAUGUAUAAAGUUGCCGUAACUUGAGAAAA